UACCAGCACCCCGAGUGGUCGGGACGUUUAUUGGGCCUAAAGCAUCCGUAGCCGGUUCUACAAGUCUUCCGUUAAAUCCAGCUGCUUAACAGAUGGGCUGCGGAAGAUACUAUGGAGCUAGGAGGCGGGAGAGGCAAGCGGUACUCGAUGGGUAGGGGUAAAAUCCGUUGAUCCAUUGAAGACCACCAGUGGCGAAGGCGGCUUGCCAGAACGCGCUCGACGGUGAGGGAUGAAGCUGGGGGAGCAAACCGG
rnacentral:rRNA from 1 species